CCGCCUCUGUGUGGUUCCUGCUCCAUCCUCUGUGCCUACAAAAGACUGAGCUUCCCAUCCCAGCACUUGGGUUUUCAGAAAGGGCAGAAGGCCAAACACAUGGAAAGCUCCAGGCAGCCCAGCAGGAGGAGAGCAGGGCAAAGGCCCCGGGACCCUCCUGAGAAAAUCCGCAGAGGAAACAGGACACAGAGUGGACGGCAGAGGCAAAACGUCAGCUCAGUUCCAAGAGGCUGGAAGUGUGGAGCGGGAAAUGGGACUUCCCUUGUGUUUUUAUGUUUAGCUGGGGUUUAAUUAAUAACCGGCAAACAAGUCUAUAAUUAACUCGAUUUCCCUUUUGGCCGGCCAAGGGAAUAAUAAUAAAGGUCCUUUUUAAGUCCUCGGUGUUGCU